UGAAGAGUAUUUCAAGGAUAGCAUAUUAGAAGGUGAAGAAUCGGAAGAACAAAACUGUUCUUCCGAGGAGGAUUAUGAUGUUGUGCUCAUCUAAAGACCAACAGCUAUGAAAUGAAAUUAUAAUUUUUUAAUAUUUUUAGACCAUGUAUCAUAUGCAGCAAUAAAUUUAAUCGUUCAAUGUAAAUAGAAACAUUUUUAAGACAACUUCAUUUUUACACUGUAAAUAUUCCCACACAAUAGAUAUGUCUGCAGAUGGCAAUAGGGCAAUGAAUGUAUUUGCUUGAUAAUACUGUUGACAUAGAAAAUGAAGAAACAUUCUCAUCAUAAACAAAA